UACGAAGGGGGCUAGCGUUGUUCGGAAUUACUGGGCGUAAAGGGCGCGCAGGCGGCCGCUCAAGUCAGAUGUGAAAGCCCCGGGCUCAACCUGGGAACUGCAUUUGAUACUGAGUGGCUAGAGUUCGGGAGAGGAGAGUGGAAUUCCCAGUGUAGAGGUGAAAUUCGUAGAUAUUGGGAAGAACACCGGUGGCGAAGGCGGCUCUCUGGACCGAUACUGACGCUGAGGCGCGAAAGCUAGGGGAGCAAACGGG
rnacentral:rRNA from 1 species